GUGGGGAAUAUUGGACAAUGGGCGCAAGCCUGAUCCAGCAAUGCCGCGUGAGUGAUGAAGGCCUUAGGGUUGUAAAGCUCUUUCACCGGGGAAGAUAAUGACGGUACCCGGAGAAGAAGCCCCGGCUAACUCCGUGCCAGCAGCCGCGGUAAUACGGAGGGGGCUAGCGUUGUUCGGAAUUACUGGGCGUAAAGCGCGCGUAGGCGGCUUGACUAGUUGGAGGUGAAAGCCCGGAGCUCAACUUCGGAAUUGCCUUCAAGACUGUCUCGGUCGAGGCAGGGAGAGGAGAGCGGAAUACCCAGUGUAGAGGUGAAAUUCGUAGAUAUUGGGUGGAACACCGGUGGCGAAGGCGGCUCUCUGGCCCUGAUCUGACGCUAAGGCGCGAAAGCGUGGGGAGCAAACAGGAUUAGAUACCCGUGUAGUCC
rnacentral:rRNA from 1 species